GACGUAGGGCGCGAGCGUUGUCCGGAUUUAUUGGGCGUAAAGAGCUCGUAGGCGGCUUGUCCGCGUCGUCCGUGAAAACUUGGGGCUCAACCCCAAGCUUGCGGUCGAUACGGGCAGGCUCGAGUUCGGUAGGGGAGACUGGAAUUCCUGGUGUAGCGGUGAAAUGCGCAGAUAUCAGGAGGAACACCGGUGGCGAAGGCGGGUCUCUGGGCCGAUACUGACGCUGAGGAGCGAAAGCGUGGGGAGCGAACAGG
rnacentral:rRNA from 1 species